AAGUCGUAACAAGGUUUCUCGAGGAACAACACCUGCCGAAGCCUUGGAUACCACCAGUCUACUUAAGUAGGCAACAUCUUCAAUGUGCUUGGAUACCAUCAUGGUAACAUGCAGCUGCUGAUAGCAGUUCACAGAUCAAACGAAGGUGGUCCAAAAACAGCUAACCCCUGUCUUGGAUUCAGAUAUGACCGGCCUACUUCUGAAAAGGCUGUAGACCAUGUGUUCCGUAGGUGAACCUGCGGAAGGAUCAUUACAGAGAAAUUGCCCCUUGGGGUAGAUCUCCCACCCUUUGUUUACAUUACCUUUGUUGCUUUGGCAGGCCCGUCUUUUGACCACCGGCUUAGGCUGGUCUGUGCCUGCCAGAGGACCCUAAACUCUUGAUUUUUUGUGUUGUCUGAGUAAUAUAACAAAUAAGUUAAAACUUUCAACAACGGAUCUCUUGGUUCUGGCAUCGAUGAAGAACGCAGCGAAAUGCGAUAAGUAAUGUGAAUUGCAGAAUUCAGUGAAUCAUCGAAUCUUUGAACGCACAUUGCACCCUCUGGUAUUCCGGGGGGUAUGCCUGUUUGAGCGUCAUUUCAACCCUCAAGCCUAGCUUGGUAUUGGGUGUUACCAGGCAAUGGUACACCUUAAAAUCAGUAGCGGCGNCAUCUGGCUUCAAGCAUAGUAAAACUUUUGCUUUGGAGGNUUUGAUGUGUGCUUGCUAUCAACCCCCUAAUUUAUCNAAGGUUGNCCUCAGNUCAGGUAGGGAUACCCGCUGAACUUAAGCAUAUCAAUAAGCGGAGGAAAAGAAACCANCAGGGAUUGCCUCAGUAACGGCGAGUGAAGCGGCAACAGCUCAAAUNUGAAAUCUGGCCUUCUGGUCCGAAUUGUAAUUUGUAGAGGAUGCUUCGAACAUGGUCUGGUCUAAGUUCCUUGGAACAGGACGUCAUAGAGGGUGAGAAUCCCGUAUGUGACUGGGUGCCUAAGUUCAUGUGAAGCUCCUUCAACGAGUCGAGUUGUUUGGGAAUGCAGCUCAAAAUGGGUGGUAAAUUUCAUCUAAAGCUAAAUAUUGGCCAGAGACCGAUAGCGCACAAGUAGAGUGAUCGAAAGAUGAAAAGCACUUUGGAAAGAGAGUUAAAUAGUACGUGAAAUUGUUGAAAGGGAAGCGCUUGCAAUCAGACUUGCAUGCAGUUGAUCAUCCGAUGUUCUCACCGGUGCACUCAUCUGCAUUCAGGCCAGCAUCGGUUUUGGUGGUUGGAUAAAGGCCCUGGGAAUGUAGCUUCUUUCGGGGAGUGUUAUAGCCCAGGGUGCAAUGCAGCCUUCCAGGACCGAGGACCGCGCUUUUGCUAGGAUGCUGGCAUAAUGGUUGUAAGCGACC
rnacentral:rRNA from 1 species